GACGAACGCUGGCGGCGUGCCUAAUACAUGCAAGUCGAACGCAGUGGGGACGGGUGAGUAACACGUGGGUAACCUCCCAUCAGAGGGGAUAACACUUGGAAACAGGUGCUAAACCGAUACUGAUGGAUGGACCCGCGGUGCAUGAGCUAGUUGGUGAGGUAACGGCUCACCAAGACCACGAUGCCUAGCCGACAGGAGAGGGUGAUCGGCCACACUGGAACUGAGACAAGGCCCAGACUCCGACGGAAGGCAGCAGUAGUGAAUCGUCGGCAAUGGACGAAAGGCUUACCGAGAAACGCCGCGGGAGUGAAAAAGUUUUUCGGAUCGUAAAACUCUGUUGUUAGAGAAGCGGUAUCUAACCAGAAAGCAACGGCUAACUACGUGCCAGCAGCCGCGGUAAUAC
rnacentral:rRNA from 1 species